rnacentral:rRNA from 1 species
CACGUAGGGUGCGAGCGUUGUCCGGAAUCAUUGGGCGUAAAGCGCGCGUAGGCGGCCUCAUAAGUCCGUUGUGAAAGUCAAAGGCUCAACCUUUGAAAGCCGAUGGAUACUGUGAGGCUAGAGUCCGGAAGAGGUGAGUGGAAUUCCCGGUGUAGCGGUGAAAUGCGUAGAGAUCAGGCAGAACACCUGGGGCGAAGGCGGCUCACUGGCCCGGUACUGACGCUGAGGUGCGAAAGCGUGGGGAGCAAACAGG